CAUUUGAACAUUUCCAAUCUUCAACAUCACUCUUUCUUCAAAAUCUCUAUAAAUAUGAACAUCAAAUGAGCCUUGAAACGCCAAAUUCAACUCAGUUCAAGUGUUGAUUUCUCUUCCAGUUGGUUCUAUACCAAUCAGAGCUUUAAACCUUUCUAGCAGUGUUUCAUCGUGAGAAAAUGGGGAUCCGAUUGCUUUCCUUGGUUCCUCAUGCCAAGCACAUCCUAAAGAUGCAGUCAGGUUUCACCAAAAAUCAUUUGGAUGUGCCAAAGGGUCAUGUGGCAGUUUAUGUGGGAGAGAUCCAAAGGAAACGGUUCGUGGUUCCGAUAUCUUACUUAAACCAUCCAUCAUUCCAACAACUACUCAGCCAUGCUGAGGAAGAGUUUGGAUUCCAUCAUCCACAGGGGGGUCUAACAAUUCCUUGCAAAGAGGAUGCCUUCAUUGAUCUCACUUCUAGAUUGCAUCUUGAAGAAUGAAGAGCAAAGCGCAGUCUGCCAUUUUUGACAAACGUUUCUUGUUUUUUUUCAACUCGUUUACUUUUUGACACAGGCUAGAGUGUUGUAGAGUGGGAAACAUUCCUUCCUGUAAAUGAGUCGCAUUGUAAAGGCUGGUUCCUACAACUAAAAUCAAGCUGAUGUCCCCAAAGGUCACAAUUGCAGUCUAUGUUGGAGAAUUCCAAAGGAAGCACUUUUUCGUUCAAAUAUCAUUCUUGAUACAUCCUACAUUAAGGUGUUUGUGAAAAUAAAUGAAUGAUUUUGGCACAUCAAGGUGUUUAGGAAGAUAGAUUAAUGAUUAUUGAAAGAAAAUGGCAGUGUUCACAUCAUAAUUCUAUCCAACGUCAUCUUUCCCACACCAAUAUACAGCUGGUUCUAGCUAUACAAGUUGUUUCAAGUAGAUGAAACUUCUACAUUUAUAAGAAAAAAACAUGAUUAGAUUCAUAUUAAAUGAUUUGUCUUGGCAUCUCAACGAUUCUCCAUGAUGUACUAUGUACUUGGCUUAUGU